GACCAGGCUGAUGGGAGAAGAGGGCCGACUGGCAGAUGACACACAGGAGGCAGAGCACCGCUACUCAAUGACCCUUUCUGACAUCUGGGAGAGGAGAAGUCUGUCCCACUAGAGGGCAGUGGAGUCUUCCCUGAACCUAGGCUAGUGGGUCCCUGCUGCUCACCGAGUACACAUGUGAGGUUGGCGGGAUGUCAUAGUCACUGGGCUCCGAGAACUCAGCUGCGGCCCCACAGCUCUUGGUGCCGCUUUCCAUGUCAUAGAGCUGACCAUCCUUGGAGGCUUUGUGGAUCUCGGCCACCUAAAGAGGAACAGGCAGGGAGACCAUGGCACUCACAAGCUACUGCUUAACCCUAUCCCGACCCUCCAAUCCUGCCCUGCUUAUCAGAUGCGGGGUGUGUGUGUGUGUUGGGGGGGCCUGAGUUCCCACUGGGAUGGCCACACCUCCAGUCAGCAGAUGAGCUUUACUGGUGUCAGUGGCUCCAGGGCCAGCAGGCUGGCAGAUGGCCUCUGAGUAUGAAGAGGCCACCGUGCCUUAUCCUAAUCCCAUGAGCGCGUACUACCUGCCUUGCACCCUUGGCUUACCUUCUUCAGGACACUGGCCUUGUACAGAUUGACCAUCUUGGCAUUCCGGAAUGUCUCAUGCUCCAGUUCCACAGCCUUGGCCUGCAGGUCAGCUCUGUGGGAAGAAACAAGCACAGGAGAGCAGGCGGGGCUCGUGAGGAUGGGCACAUGGACUCGGCUGAGAAUCCUCUAGGAGCCCUGCGGCUUACUGUCUGUCCUUUAGCAGCCUCUGAUGCACACCCAGUAGGGCUGUAAGGAGUGGGACCCAUGGGACACCACUGCAGAGGCAUCCUCUGGAGGAGAGGAGGCCUCUCCCUCUCUCCCUCCCUCAGAGGACGCCUUGCUCCCUGCCCUGGUGACCUCGGCACGCUCACCCAUGAGUGGAGCCUGCAGCCUGAUGGUUACUGAUCAGAGCCUCCUCCAGAAGUCGCAGGCAGUGCUCACGGGCCUAUGAGAGUGAAGUCAUGGUCACCCCCCCUCAGCGGCAGGGAGGGGCCCUGAGGGCAAGUGAAGAGCUGCCCCUCUCUUACCUUCACUGUGAGCUUCGGGAUCUUCCUGCUUGAAGCCUCUCUCAGGGGACAGUCUUCAUCUGAGAAAAGGGAGGGGAAGGCUCUCCAUCUGAGCAGCUCCUGGAAGCCUUACCGAGCCCCCCACGGUCUACCCCCAGGCACAACACCCAAGCCCCCGGAGCAUUUCUGCACUAACCUGGGGGCGUGAAUUCUUCUAUCUUGGGCUCUUUGCCCUGAAAGAUAGUCAGCAGGAGGGACAUGAGACAUCCUAUCCUGCUGCAAGGCUGGAGAAGGGACUGAGAGGUGGUACUCAGGGGACCAUCCAAACCCUGCAUGGGCCACUGUGCUGUUUUUUGUUUUUUGGGGGGGCAGUGCAUUUCAGACAGAGUUCUGCUAUGUAGUCAGUCUCUGGCCUUGUACUCCAGCCUCUGCCUCCUAAGUGCUAGGACUGGAGUCAUGUGUCACCACGCUGGCUUAGGCUUUUUGUUAACUUGAUAGAAACUAGAGUCGUCUGGGAAGACGGAUCCUCAGCUGAGGAACUGCCUCCCGGCAGACUGGUCUGUGGGGACAUUUUCCUGAUGGACGUGUAAGGGCCCAGGUUACUAUGGGCUGUGGUAAGUGGUCCUGGUUGUAGAGGACAGCAAACUGAGCAAGGGAACAGCACUCUUCCACGGUCUCUGCCUCAAUUCUGCCUCCAGGUCCCUGCUGGAGCUCCUGCCCCGACUUCCCCUGAUGCUGCACUGUGAUGUGGAAGUGUCAAGCAAAUAAACCCUCUCCUUCCCAUG
rnacentral:lncRNA from 1 species